UUGUAUGCAGUACCCUAAAGAUCAUUCUGGGUGCACUUUGCAUGCUUAGGCAGCACUUUAUAAUAUUCACCACCAAAAGAAGUGAUUAGGACCUUUCUCUCCCUCCUCACAUGGAAAGGGCUAAUUCCCAUGCAAGGUGAUUAUCUAAUGCCAAUUGAUUCCAUCAUGUGCUCUAAACUGAAGCGUUGUGCUGUUAAAGAAAGACUUGGCAAUUUUAACUUUUCUUUCUAGGCAGGCAGGGGAAUGUUUG
rnacentral:lncRNA from 1 species